rnacentral:rRNA from 1 species
AUUGAACGCUGGCGGCAGGCUUAACACAUGCAAGUCGAGCGAGCGGCGGACGGGUGAGUAAUGUCUGGGAAACUGCCUGAUGGAGGGGGAUAACUACUGGAAACGGUAGCUAAUACCGCAUACCCUCAGAUGUGCCCAGAUGGGAUUAGCUAGUAGGUGGGGUAAUGGCUCACCUAGGCGACGAUCCCUAGCUGGUCUGAGAGGAUGACCAGACAAACUGGAACUGAGAGACGGUCCAGACUCCUACGGGAGGCAGCAGUGGGGAAGAUUGCAAAAUGGGCGCAAGCCUGAUACAGCCAUGCCGCGUGUGUGAAGAAGGCAUUCGGGUUGUAAAGCACUUUCAGCGAGGAGGCGUUACUCGCAGAAGAAGCACCGGCUAACUCCGUGCCAGCAGCCGCGGUAAUUC